rnacentral:rRNA from 1 species
AACGUAGGUGGCGAGCGUUAUCCGGAUUCAUUGGGCGUAAAGAGCUUGUAGGCGGCGUCAUAAGUUGGACGUGAAAACUCCGGGCUUAACUUGGAGAGGCCGUUCAAUACUGUGAGGCUAGAGGGUGUCAGAGGGAAGUAGAAUUCCUGGUGUAGCAGUGAAAUGCGUAGAUAUCAGGAGGAAUACCCGUGGCGAAGGCAGCUCGCUGGGACGUUACUGACGCUGAGACGCGAAAGCGUGGGGAGCAAACAGG